rnacentral:tRNA from 1 species
AGUGGCUAGUCUAACUCAAGACAGUUGACUUCGGCUCAACUAAUUAUGGUUUAAUCCCAUAGCCACUCU